GCCUGGGUGGCUCAGUCAGUAAAGCGUCCGACUUCGGCUCAGGUCAUGAUCUUGCGGUUCGUGGGUUUGAACCCCACAUCGGGCU
rnacentral:tRNA from 1 species